ACCCGCUGAACUUAAGCAUAUCAAUAAGCGGAGGAAAAGAAACCAACAGGGAUUGCCCCAGUAACGGCGAGUGAAGCGGCAACAGCUCAAAUUUGAAAUCUGGCCUCGGGCCGAGUUGUAAUUUGCAGAGGAUGCUUCUGGCCCGCCGCCGUCCGAGUCCCCUGGAACCGGGAGCCCUUAAAGGGGGAAACUCCCGAAAGUUGGCUGCCGGCACCGUGCACAGCUCCUCCUCCAAGACUCGAGUUGUGUGAAAGCGGCUCUCUAUGUGAGGGGUAUUUUUUCUCUAGCUCUAUACCCCCGACAGACACAUAUCGCACACGUAUAGAGAGCUCAAGAUAAGAAGAACUCUUUGGAAAGAGAGAUAUAACACGUGUGAUUGUGGUGAGGGGAACGCUCGUGCACCCACACGUGCCGGGGGGAUUACGCCGGGCUUCCGACCGGGCUACCCGCCCCCGGCAGGCCAGCAUCGUGUCUCUGCGCCGGAUAAAGGUGCUGGGAACGUGGCUCCUCCGGGAGUGUUAUCCCCGGGCAGCGUACUGCCCUCGCGGGGCGAGAGUGCUCGCUCUCUCCCAAGAGGCGCUGGUUAUGUGCUCUCGCCGACCCGUCUUGAAACACGG
rnacentral:rRNA from 1 species